GAUGAACGCUGGCGGUAUGCUUAACACAUGCAAGUCGAACGGACUCUUCGGAGUUAGUGGCGGACGGGUGAGUAACGCGUGAGAAUCUGGCUUUGGGUUCGGGACAACCACUGGAAACGGUGGCUAAUACCGGAUGUGCCGAGAGGUAAAAGAGAAAUUGCCUGAAGAUGAGCUCGCGUCUGAUUAGCUAAUUGGUGAGGUAAAGGCUCACCAAGGCAGCGAUCAGUAGCUGGUCUGAGAGGAUGACCAGCCACACUGGGACUGAGACACGGCCCAGACUCCUACGGGAGGCAGCAGGGGGGAAUUUUCCGCAAUGGGCGAAAGCCUGACGGAGCAAUACCGCGUGAGGGAAGAAGGCUCUUGGGUUGUAAACCUCUUUUCUUAGGGAAGAACAAAAUGACGGUACCUAAGGAAUCAGCAUCGGCUAACUCCGUG
rnacentral:rRNA from 1 species